AUUUGGAAGGCCAAAAUUCCACUCAAAAUUAAAAAAUUUAUGUGGCAACUUUCGCAAGAUGCAGUGCUGACUAGACAGGUGAUGCGUCACAGGAAUUGGCCUGGGAACCCUGUUUGUUCAUUCUGUAACGAAAUUGAGACUUCCCAGCACUUGUUCUUUACUUGUUCGGUCGCUAGGGUGGUGUGGCGAUCUAUUGGGGUGGCUAUUGGUACCGAUAAGUGUCCCGAUAACUAUUGGCAAUUCUUUGCUUGGUGCUAUUCCUUUCUUCCAGGAGGGGAUAAGUUUUAUACUGUUGGUCUUGCUGCCACCUGCUGGGCGAUCUGGCUUGCUCGCAAUAAGGCUACCUUUGAGAAAAAGCAAAUUAAGUCUCCCUUUUAA
rnacentral:rRNA from 1 species